CCUACGGGUGGCAGCAGUGGGGAAUAUUGGACAAUGGGCGAAAGCCUGAUCCAGCCAUGCCGCGUGUGUGAAGAAGGCCUUCGGGUUGUAAAGCACUUUCAGUGGGGAAGAAAGCCUUGGGGCUAAUACCCUCGAGGAAGGACAUCACCCACAGAAGAAGCACCGGCUAACUCCGUGCCAGCAGCCGCGGUAAUACGGAGGGUGCGAGCGUUAAUCGGAAUUACUAGGCGUAAAGCGCGCGUAGGCGGUCUGAUAAGCCGGUUGUGAAAGCCCCGGGCUCAACCUGGGAACGGCAUCCGGAACUGUCAGGCUAGAGUGCAGGAGAGGAAGGUAGAAUUCCCGGUGUAGCGGUGAAAUGCGUAGAGAUCGGGAGGAAUACCAGUGGCGAAGGCGGCCUUCUGGACUGACACUGACGCUGAGGUGCGAAAGCGUGGGUAGCAAACAGGAUUAGAUACCCGAGUAGUC
rnacentral:rRNA from 1 species